UACGGGGGGGGCAAGCGUUGUUCGGAAUUACUGGGCGUAAGGGGUUCGUAGGUGGCUUGCUAAGUCAGACGUGAAAUCCCUCAGCUUAACUGGGGAACUGCGUCUGAUACUGGCGAGCUUGAGUGCAGGAGAGGAACGCGGAAUUCCAGGUGUAGCGGUGAAAUGCGUAGAUAUCUGGAGGAACACCGGUGGCGAAGGCGGCGUUCUGGACUGCAACUGACACUGAUGAACGAAAGCCAGGGGAGCAAACGGG
rnacentral:rRNA from 1 species